rnacentral:rRNA from 1 species
CCCUUAGAUGUUCUGGGCCGCACGCGCGCUACACUGAUGCAUUCAACGCGUCUAAAACCUGCUCUGAUAGGGGUGGGUAAUCUUUUGAAUGUGCAUCGUGAUUGGGAUAGAUGAUUGCAAUUUUUCAUCUUCAACGAGGAAUGCCUAGUAAACGCAAGUCAUCAGCUUGCAUUGAUUACGUCCCUGCCCUUUGUACACACCGCCCGUCGCUCCUACCGAUUGAAUGAUCCGAUGAAUAUCAUGGAUUGAGGAUGCAAGUAGGUUCGCCUAUCUUCAUCUUCGAGAAGUGAAGUAAAUCUUAUCAUUUAGAGGAAGGAGAAGUCGUAACA